rnacentral:lncRNA from 1 species
AUUUGAACUUUGACAACUCUCAAAUAUAUUGUUCCUGCAAAGUUUCUAUAAGGAUCACAAGAACAGGCAGCUAUUGGAGGGCUUUAUAAAUGAGGGCCGAACCCUGGGGGUCUUUGGAUAUUAUCAGGAGAAAUAAACUAUCAGAUAAAAGCAAUGAGUAAAAACUAUGAAAUAGGGUUUCUUACAGGACUCAGUCGCUUAGUUCAUUUAACAGACCAAUAUUAGUAUGUUCUGUCCUCUCCCCAUACUCUCCUGCCCUUUCUCUCCUUCCAACUCCAUUCAAGAAUAGUGUUUUGGUAGUAUUUUAGUCUUAUGUCAAAUUUUUAUACAAGUUAACAAGGAAGUUCAAAAGCUAUGGGGAAGUAGAGCUACAUACAAAGGCAGCUCACUGAGGCAAUGGAAGCAGGGACACGUGACCUGGGAAGAAUACAUGGAUGCCAUCCAAACAUGCAGAGAUGGGAUGAGGAAAGCCAAGGCACAGAUGCAACUGAACUUGGUGAAGGAAUUGCUGGUCCUGGUUAGAAUCCUUAUACAGUGCGGAGGAGCACUUCAUGCCAUAGUGUAUCCAAACUGAUGGGACAUUGCUGAGAAUGGAGCUAAAACUCUUUGCAAGCAGACUGCAGCUAUACUAAGUGUUUCUCUUCUUGGGAGAAAAAGCUAUGCACCAGGUGCAAAAAAUGGAGAACAAAGUAUCUGUACCCUGAAGGCCCUGGGACAAAAAGAAUUCCAGCCUGCAAACUUCACCUCUUGCUGAAGAUAAAGACAAAAGUCUUAGAGAUUCUUACCAGUCUAUCCCAGAGCAAACUACUUUUCCACCACCAAAUCUGGAGGUUGGCCUGACUCUGAGCCUUCCAUCAGUGGUCUAACCCCACUGCUGUCUGUUUCCAGCUGGUGGCUAAAGUCUGAUACUUUAGAAAGUGGUAGGUGGGUAGGAGAAGUAAUCAAAGUACGUGUAGAAAGGAGAGAAGGAAUUCUUUCGUAGCCUGAAGGCAAUCAUGUGAAGUCCUCAGGACUGAUUGCAAGCUGUGAUUUGGAGUUUCUCCCACUGAAGGAUGCUUAUCGGUGAUUGGAUCUUGCCGUGCUUUUAUCAGUAAAAUUUUAAAAGCUCUCUACUCCCAGAUAUCCAUCCCAUGUGCUAAUACAUAUGCAAAAUACCCAAAUCACCUCAGGCUUUUUUUUUUUUUAAGUGAAUAUAUUGUGGUUCUUACAUCUCCCCCACUGCAGUUUGCAUGGCAGCCCAUAGGACAGCCUUGUGGUUCCCACCCAUUUAAAACCUCUGUAGUAUUUCCUCAGCCUCCCUUUAGGAGUGGGGACAAGGAAUGCAAUGCCAGCUUCUAGCAAUCACUAACUAAUGCCCUAUGCAGAGCUCACAUCUCUGUAUUUGCUUUCUAAAUAACUAUCAGAUACUAUUUGUUAGAGCACUUCACUAAGCAUUUAUUAAAUGUAAGCAAUAGUGUACCUGCAGAUAGACCUCCACCUUCGGGAGCAAGUUCAGGCUGUCCCCCAGGAAGGCGUUUGUGGUUAAUCACACAGGAUUCAGGAGGGUUUGGCAUGGCCUCUUGGGCAAUCUUAAGUAAUGAAGUUGACCUUUCUGCAUUGCCGUCUCUCUUACCUCAGCCCCAUUUCUUUAAGGCGUGUGCAAUACUUGCACUGCUCUAAUCCCACCUGGUCUAUCUGCAGGCGCAUCUGCACAAGUGGUGACUCUGCCUGCACACUGAGUCAGCCGAGUGAAAGCCUCCUCCGAGCUAGAAGCUGUUUAGACGUGUUGCUGAAGGCUGUGCCCAUUCUAAUGCUUUUCUCCACAGAGAAAAAAAACAUGCUGAGUUGCUGAAUUAACUGUUGUCGGGCUCCUCAAGCAUGAAAAUGACCAGUGUUCUCCAGCACACAAAGCUUUCAUGCCAAAGACAUUUCAGGUCUCACACUGCUCCUGUCCAGCAUCUAUGCGCCCAGUGCUUGCACUCAGCCCGCUUUCCUGCCUCACUCCCUCCCCAGUUCCCCUGGUCAGCCCAUAUGAG